rnacentral:lncRNA from 1 species
UAUUACAGGAAGGCACAUUUUGUGUAGCUUUGCCCGAAGAGAGAAGCUGUUUUCUGUCAGAGAUGGAACAUGUUAGCUGGUUGCCACGAUGUCUUCAUUUGUCCAUCGCUGCCCCUCUGUGAGCAGGCAGCCAUCAGGACACAGACAGUGGCAUGCUGGACAGGCCAACUCUGACAAGGAGCAAGCCACGCAGACAUUGUGCUGGAAUUUCUAUGCUGAAGAAUUAAGCUAUAUUGUUUGGCAAAAGAAGAAACUGAAAACAAGAAAUCCAUCCCUUUCUACCACUGCUAUUAUAUCAUCCACGUUUUAAAAAAAAAUUUGUAUGUAGUUAUAUACAACAAGAAGUUUCUGCUUCGGAUUUCUCUGUUAGGCAGGGUGGUGGGAGGGAUGGGGUCUCGAGUUUUUCCCAAGUGAAAUCCUGGAAAUCCUGCCUGAGAGAAUCCUUAUGAAAGUUUCACUCACAAUGAAAGCAAACUUCCAAGGUGGAAGAGGGUGAAGCCGGCUGGCUGGACCGAUCACUGAGGCCCAGCGCUGCAAAGAGAGCUCAGCACAUGAUUCCAACCCUUUCUGGGAGCACGGCCCAGGCUUGGCACCGGUUUGGUGUUCUUGAGUGUGACGCAUUCUGCAAACCUGGCUGCGUCCAUGGCCCAGCUCCAGUUCUGCAGGGCUCAUCAUCAGGCUGCCCCCUCUCCUAAGGUGUUUUGCAGAAUCACCCAUCAGAGCUAAACACCCACCAGCUGACCACCCGUUCCAGGUGAUGGGAUUUUGGCUCAGAUCAGCCUGGAUCAUGGUGGACCUCUACAAGCUGGCUUGCAUAAAUGUAAACGUCUGCUGCCCAUCUUGAAGACCAUCGGCAAGCUUUGGUGGGUUCAUAUUCAGUGGCAUUAGGGAUUAAAGCAAACUUAAAAUGAUUCUGAGUAUAAACAGAUACAGAUAUAAACUUUUGGGGGAACAAUUUGGUAAUAGCUAAUAACAAUCGUUAAAAUGUUUAUAUCCUUUGACCUGAUAGUGUUAGUUCUAAGAAUUUACCUUAAGAAAAUAAAUACAUUUAUAUCCCAUGA